GAUCCUACAUCUGUCCUUCUGUGACCCACUUCCCUCACGUGGCAUCUUGUUCUUGAGCUUCUCCACGUGGUCACCGUGUGGGUGCUUCACUCCGCUCUACGGCUAGUUGUGUUCUGCCGUGUGGAUGGACCACGUUUCAUCAGUUCAUCUGUCGAUGGACGCUGCUUGUAUCCACCUCUCAGCGAUCAUAAGCAGUGCUGCUGGGAACACGCAUGUGCACGCUCUCACGUGGUCGUGUUUUUGGACUCUGGAUUGCCGGAGUGGAAUCGCUGGGUCCAACGGGCACUUGGUUUGGCUCUUGGAGCACCUUCUCGGGGGGCAAGGAUUUGAGGGAAGACCCCACUCACGCGGGCUGCAGCUCCCUGGGCCCCGCUCUGCAGCCGGAGCUCCCCCUUCUUCAGGGGAAGCGGGGACAGCGUUGAAUCAUUGUGGAAGCGACGCCCUUGGGGCUUACGCUGAGGGGACAUUUAAGGAGACUGGUUUGGAGGGACCUUGUCGCAGUUGACGAAUCCGGAGGAGAACCAACGCCACCAGGCCAGGCCGCGUCCCGCCCGCCCGUGAUGCUGAGGGGAGUCCUGGUGUCAGGGCUCCCCCCAGGACGUGGGCUCCAGAAGGAUGCGUUCAGUCGAUGGGGUGGGGUGACCUGGGGGUGUACGGAGAACCUUCCAGAGAGACCCCAAAUUUAGACCGGAUGGCCGCUGAAGGGAUGCUUUUCCCGAACUUCUACACGGCCAACCCCCUGUGCUCACCGUCGCGGGCGGCUCUGCUCACUGGACGUCUGCCCAUCCGAAACGGCUUCUACACGACCAGUGGGCACGCCAGGAACGCCUACACGCCGCAGGAGAUCGUGGGCGGCAUCCCAGACUCGGAGCGCCUCCUGCCCGAGCUGCUGAAGGAGGCCGGCUACGUCAGCAAGAUCGUGGGCAAGUGGCAUCUGGGCCACAGGCCUCAGUUCCACCCCCUGAAGCAUGGAUUCGACGAGUGGUUUGGAUCCCCCAACUGCCACUUUGGACCUUAUGACAACAGGGCCAGGCCCAACAUCCCUGUGUACAGGGACUGGGAGAUGGUCGGCAGAUAUUAUGAGGAAUUUCCAAUUAAUCUGAAGACCGGCGAAGCCAACCUCACCCAGAUCUACCUGCAGGAGGCCCUGGACUUCAUCAGGAGGCAGCAGGCAGCACGGCGCCCCUUCUUUCUCUACUGGGCCGUUGACGCCACACACGCACCUGUUUACGCGUCUAAGCCUUUCUUGGGCACCAGUCAGCGAGGGCGAUACGGGGACGCUGUCCGGGAGAUCGAUGACAGUGUUGGGAAGAUCCUGCACUCACUGCAGGACCUGGGGAUCGCAGAGAGCACGUUUGUUUUCUUCACAUCGGACAACGGCGCUGCCCUCAUUUCUGCUCCAAAACAAGGCGGCAGUAAUGGCCCCUUUCUGUGCGGGAAGCAGACCACGUUCGAAGGUGGGAUGAGAGAGCCUGCAGUCGCGUGGUGGCCCGGGCGCAUCCCUGCAGGCCAGGUGAGCCACCAGCUGGGCAGCAUCAUGGACCUCUUCACCACCAGCCUGUCCCUCGCAGGCCUGGAGCCGCCCAGAGACAGGGCCAUCGAUGGCCUCAGUCUCCUCCCGGCCAUGCUGCAGGGCCAGCUGAUGGACAGGCCGAUAUUCUAUUACCGUGGCAACACACUGAUGGCAGUCACCCUCGGCCAAUACAAGGCCCACUUCUGGACCUGGACCAAUUCCUGGGAGGAGUUCAGACAGGGCAUUGAUUUCUGUCCCGGGCAGAACGUGUCAGGAGUCACCACCCACACGCAGGAGGAGCACACGAGGCUGCCCCUGAUUUUCCACCUGGGACGCGACCCGGGGGAGAGGUUCCCCCUCAGACCGAAGAGGAGAGAUGUUGACACGGGAGAGGCCAUGGACGACGGCAGCAGAGAUGGGACAGCGUGGCCACAGCCCAGGGACGCCUGCAGCUGCCAGGGGCUAGAAGUGGCAGGAAGGAUCCUCCCUUGGAGCCACUGGCGGGAGUGUGGCCCUGUGACACCUGGAUUUCAGACUCCUGGUCUCCAGGACGAGGAUAAGUCCCUGCUGUUUAAGGCGCCCCCCCCCACCCCCCCGCCGCAGUCUGCGGCAAUUUGUUACGUGGCCCCAGGACACUCACAUGGGCGAGGAGCCUCCUCAUGGCCGUCACAAACCACAGGAGGUCUGGAGCAGGGCCACGUGCAGGUGCAGGCUGGGAAAUUAGAACUAAACAGGGGGCUGGGAAGUCGUGGUCAGUGAGCCCCCCUCCCACCCCCGAUCCCCGGAAGUCAUUUCAGAGCCAAGAUGCAGCAGGACCAGGGCAGUGGAUCCCAGGGCCUGGUUACCCAGACGAGUGCCCUCACACCUGUGCCCACCAGGCCCCCACAGCCUCAGUGUUCCCUUGGCCCCCCAGAAGUUAAAGGUCAGUUAAGGUGACAGCCCUGCUCUGUCCACGUGGGUCCAGUUUGGCAUAAUGUUACGUCCACGGGGCAUUUCUCUCCAUCUUGCUUCUCAACACCACCUGUUCAUUGCUCCUGGCCUUCUUCCAGCGGGGCCGUGGUGAGGGGCACCACAGGCCGUGGCGGGCAGCCCCCGGGGCCGUCAGCCAUCUCACAGAUGCCUCCAUGGCUGGAGCAAACCUGGGCACCUAGGGUGUACGCUCCCCUGAGGUGGGUCAGCGGGGAGAGACGGCGGCGAGCCUCCGAGAAGCCCACCCCUGACCGCAGACCCCCGUGACGUUGCUUCUCAGACACAUGUGCGCACAAAACAGCUGCAGCAACAAGCUGGUCACCGUGGAAGCUCGGUGCAAGCCCUGCCCCUCGCUGGCCGUGAGCGUGGCCGGAUGGCCCUCCCACCUCAGCAUCUCCCGAAGUGGGCAGUCACAGGGCUGCCUCACAGGGCUGUGCCGAGACGUGCAGAGCACACUGCCUGCGAGCUCUCCUUAGACCACGUCAUCUCCAUUCAGGGUCCCCUCAGGCCCCUGCCUGCAGCCCCCUGUGCUCCAGAUGGGGAGACCCGGACCUGGGAAGGGAUGUGACAGGCCCAGGGUCACUCUGGGGGUAUGCAGAGCUCUGAGCAAGAAGACACUGCAUCUGCCACCUGGCCUGGAAGAAUUUGGGCUGAAUAUGGGGCCUUCUGGUGCUCCCCACAUGCACUCACCCCAUGGCACCACCGAGAAACCUUGUCACCCAGACUGUUGAGCUUGGUUAAGCCAGUCCUUUCCAGUGCGUUCGGCCACAGAAUCCUGGAAAGACACGGGACACACCAAGAACCUGCUUGGGAAAGCUUGUGGGCCACGUGUGGAGCGAGUGUAGCUGAGAACAGGAGCCCGAUGGUAUGGAGGCCCGAGGAGUGGGGCUGGUCUGGGAGUGACAGCCUCAGACGGACCCAGAGUCGGGAGCAAGUAGGGCAGGACCAGCCACUCCUGAAACAAACCUGAAUCAGAGGCCUGAAGAAGGGGCACAGGAGUGAGAAAGAGGCAGCCAGGAGCCCUGGAGCCCGGGUGUGACUCAGGGACACUGGGCUAUGCCCUUGGAGGUUCCAGCGAAGGCCGAGGCCCCAACCAGCCAGACAGAAGAGUCACGGCUGCCGCCCCUGUCGUGUGGUUCUGCCUGAAGCCGCCUUGUAGGGAAGAGUCCCAGCUUUGCCAGCACCGAGUACCUGGAUGCCCUUCGCAGGAUCACCCCAGUCGUCCGGCAGCACCAGGAGGCCUUGAUCCCUGGACAGCCCCAGCUCAACGUGUGCAACCAGGCAGUCAUG